AUUGAACGCUGGCGGCAGGCCUAACACAUGCAAGUCGAACGAGUGGCGGACGGGUGAGAAAUGUCUGGGAAACUGCCCGUUGGAGGGGGAUAACUACUGGAAACGGUAUCUAAUACCGCAUACCCUCGGAUGUGCCCAGAUGGGAUUAGCUAGUAGGUGGGGUAACGGCUCACCUAGGCGACGCUCCCUAGCUGGUCUGAGAGGAUGACCAGCCACACUGGAACUGAGACACGGUCCAGACUCCUACGGGAGGCAGCAGUGGGGAAUAUUGCACAAUGGGCGCAAGCCUGAUGCAGCCAUGCCGCGUGUAUGAAGAAGGCCUUCGGGUUGUAAAGUACUUUCAGCGAGGAGGCGUUACUCGCAGAAGAAGCACCGGCUAACUCCGUGCCAGCAGCCGCGGUAAUAC
rnacentral:rRNA from 1 species